rnacentral:piRNA from 1 species
UAGGUGUUUAUGACGUUUA